rnacentral:tRNA from 1 species
UCCCUGUUGGCUAGAUGGUAAAGCAUCUGCUUGCAAUGCAGGAGACCUGGGUUUGCUCUCUGGGUUGGGAA